rnacentral:lncRNA from 1 species
CUGCCAGCUUACACUAUAGGCACAGCAACACUGGAUCUGAGCCACAUAUGUGACCUGCACCACAGCUCAUGGCAAAGCCAGAUCCUUAACUCAUUGAGCGAGGCCAGGGAUCGAACUCAGAUCUUCACGGAGACUUAUGGCAGGUUCUUAAUCCAUUUAGUCAUGAUGAAAACUCCUCAGUUGGGUUUUACGUUAGCUUUCCAGCUAUUUCUACGGCUUUUCAAAAUUAUUUCAUUACUUUAAAAAUGUGUUUCUUUGUGGCCCCGCCCGUGGCAUGUGGAGGUUCCCCACCUGGGAUCACACCUGAGCCGUAGUCGAGACGAUGGUGGAUCUUUAACUGCUAGGCCCCGAGGGGACACCUACGGUUUUUAUAAAAAUAAUGCCUUCCCGUCUUCUGCAUUUCAAGUGACAUAAUUUACAUCAUUAUUUUUGGAUUUUUAAAAUAUUGUCUCAAUUCACCCUCUUGAUACCACCCUUUAUGAUACUGUGCUAAAUCAUGUCCGUUUUUUUUUAACCAGUCUUAGCCUGGGGGUCUGGCUCUCCAACAGAUGUCUUUGCCAUCCAUCUGUGUUAGCGCUGUCUUGUCAACUAAUCUUGUCAACUAAUUUACACCGGAAGCACAAGGCAAAUAAAUUAAAGUAUCUUUAGUUUACCUAGACUACUUCGACAUGCAUCCAAAAGCAUAAUAAGCAUAAACUAUGGAGAAUAAGUGCCAGAUUUUCUAGACACCAGGAGCAAUACCUUGGAGUUCCUGCCAUGGUGCAGUGGGUUAAGAACCUGACUGUGUUGGCUCAGGUUGCCGUGGAGGUGAGGGUUUGACCCCCGGCCUGGUGCAGUGGGUUAAAGGAUCCAGCCUUGCCACAGCUGCUGUGGAGGUCUUAGCUGUGGCUCGGAUUCAGUCCCUGGCCUGGGACCUUCCGGGUGCUGUGGGUGUGGCCAUAAGAACGGACCAAAUAACGAACGAUCCAUUUCUUUCAGAACACGAUGACCCAUAAAUCAGCCGAGAGGGAUUCUCGAAGUAAAAUCUAUCUCAGUCGCUUACAUCGGAUGUACUCCGGUGCCAUUGCUAACAUGGAGUUCUCCAGGAGACUGCUGGAGAGAAGCGGCCAGUUUACAGACGCGGACUCGGAGAGCAGAACCCGAGGGCUGGUCAGUGCUGUCGGGGUCUGGAAGCUGCACAGUGAGGCUCUGUCUAAGAUCUGGGCCGAGGGGUGUGGGCAGGGGCAGGUCAGCAGACUGUGCGGUGGAAGUUCUGGUGCACACAGGAGGGCUGCCUGGAAGCAGUGACCACCAUUUACAACUAAGGAUGGAGGAGGGUCCACCGGGGCUGAACUCUUUCCAUGCUGGAUCUAGAUGUGACUGGAGGACAGAUCCCCCCUCGUUUUAGUUUUAGAAACAUAAAAAUCUAAUCUGGAGUCUGAUUUAAAAAUAAAAAGAAACUCGAGUUCCCA